rnacentral:lncRNA from 1 species
CUGGGAAGGACGCUCAGUGCUCCCACACACCCCGGGCUGGGAGACCCCCCCUCCCCAUUGGCUGCAGGUUUGCAGCUGGAUGAAGUCAGGCCAGGCCAGAGGGUGAGCAACCCCCGGCUCUGCAUGGAUUGCAAUGGGGAAAGCCAGCUGCAGUAAGAGCCCGGCGCAGUUGGAGCACGGCCUCUUCCUCCAGGCUCUCCUCCUCCUCCUCCUGCUCUGCUGCAGGCAUG